GGAAACUGAUUGCUUAUUGCACCACAUGUGUUUUUCUUUGAAACAAACUUGCUUUGGCGGUGGGCCCAGCCUGCCGCCAGAGGUCUAAACUUACAACCAAUUUUUUAUCAACUUGUCACACCAGAUUAUUACUAAUAGUCAAAACUUUCAACAACGGAUCUCUUGGUUCUCGCAUCGAUGAAGAACGCAGCGAAAUGCGAUACGUAAUAUGAAUUGCAGAUAUUCGUGAAUCAUCGAAUCUUUGAACGCACAUUGCGCCCUCUGGUAUUCCGGAGGGCAUGCCUGUUUGAGCGUCGUUUCUCCCUCAAACCGCUGGGUUUGGUGUUGAGCAAUACGACUUGGGUUUGCUUGAAAGACGGUAGUGGUAAGGCGGGAUCGCUUUGACAAUGGCUUAGGUCUAACCAAAAACAUUGCUUGCGGCGGUAACGUCCACCACGUAUAUCUUCAAACUUUGACCUCAAAUCAGGUAGGACUACCCGCUGAACUUAAGCAUAUCAAAAGCCGGAGGAA
rnacentral:rRNA from 1 species